rnacentral:lncRNA from 12 species
AAGAACAAGUAGCAGAGGCUGCUCCAGAGCAGAGGAGCCAGAGGCUAGGUAGAGGCAGUAAAGACAGAGCUUAGUAGCCGCUGAAGUCGGAGUAUGAUGGGGGUCGACUCCUCCAUGUGGAGGUGAGGUGACGCCAGAUUUCCGAGUGCGCGGCUGGCCGCGGGGUCACGGAGAUGGAGGGUGACGACCAGGGUCGAGGAGGGACUGUUUGAGGCUGUUUGUCUUGCCCGCUGGUUCCUGGGAGGCUUGACGAUUCCUUUGGGCGAAGGGAGUGCAGCCAAGGGAAGACUCGAGCCUGGAGAUUAAGCUGCUGCGUGACCAGUAAGAGGGCCUGCAGAUGCUCCCUCCUCUUCCUCAUCCUUCUCCUGGAGGGCAGCCCCAUCCAUCACCGCGACCUCUCACUGAAGUUUAGCACGCACGUUGAAAGGUGAUUACACCCGAGUAUGCAGCCCCUGUGCUUUCACUAAACCCUGGGCUCAAAAACCCUCCUGCACCCCCUUCUAGGCCCUCCCAGCCAUGGGGAGCCAUUAUUCUCACUUCCAACAGUUUCGAUGGGGUUUAAAAAAAAUUUUUUUUCAUUGAUUUGGAUUUUAUUCAAUUUUUUUAUAAUA